GGACUACUGGGGUAUCUAAUCCUGUUUGCUCCCCACGCUUUCGCGCCUCAGCGUCAGUUACGGUCCAGAGAGCCGCCUUCGCCACCGGUGUUCUUCCCAAUAUCUACGAAUUUCACCUCUACACUGGGAAUUCCACUCUCCUCUCCCGUACUCCAGCCUCAGAGUAUCAAGCGCAAUUCCCAGGUUAAGCCCGGGGCUUUCACGCCUGACUACUAAGGCCGCCUGCGCGCCCUUUACGCCCAGUAAAUCCGAACAACGCUCGCCCCCUUCGUAUUACCGCGGCUGCUGGCAC
rnacentral:rRNA from 1 species